UACGUAGGUGGCAAGCGUUGUCCGGAUUUACUGGGCGUAAAGAGCGCGCAGGCGGUCGUUCAAGUCGCGUGUGAAAGCCCCCGGCUCAACUGGGGAGGGUCACGCGAUACUGAUCGACUCGAAGGCAGGAGAGGGAAGUGGAAUUCCCGGUGUAGUGGUGAAAUGCGUAGAUAUCGGGAGGAACACCAGUGGCGAAGGCGACUACCUGGCCUGUUUCUUGACGCUGAGGCGCGAAAGCUAGGGGAGCAAACGGGG
rnacentral:rRNA from 1 species